rnacentral:rRNA from 1 species
GAUGAACGCUGGCGGCGUGCCUAAUACAUGCAAGUCGAGCGAAUGGAUUAAGAGCUUGCUCUUAUGAAGUUAGCGGCGGACGGGUGAGUAACACGUGGGUAACUUGCCCAUAAGACUGGGAUAACUCCGGGAAACCGGGGCUAAUACCGGAUAACAUUUUGAACCGCAUGGUUCGAAAUUGAAAGGCGGCUUCGGCUGUCACUUAUGGAUUGACCCGCAUCGUAUGAGCUAGUUGGUGAGGUAACGGCGCACCAAGGCAAGGAGGCGUAGCCGACCUGAGAGGGUGAUCGGCCACACUGGGACUGAGGCACGGCCCAGACUCCUACGGGAGGCAGCAGGAGGGAAUCUUCCGCAAUGGACGAAAGUCUGACGGAGCAACGCCGCGUGAGUGAUGAAGGCUUUCGGGUCGUAAAACUCUGUUGUUAGGGAAGAACAAGUGCUAGUUGAAUAAGCUGGCACCUUGACGGUACCUAACCAGAAAGCCACGGCUAACUACGUGCCAGCCGCCGCAGUAA